AGCGAACGCUGGCGGCAGGCCUAACACAUGCAAGUCGAACGAACCUUUCGGGGUUAGUGGCGGACGGGUGAGUAACACGUGGGAACGUGCCUUUAGGUUCGGAAUAACUCAGGGAAACUUGUGCUAAUACCGAAUGUGCCCUUCGGGGGAAAGAUUUAUCGCCUUUAGAGCGGCCCGCGUCUGAUUAGCUAGUUGGUUGAGGUAAUGGCUCACCAAGGCGACGAUCAGUAGCUGGUCUGAGAGGAUGAUCAGCCACAUUGGGACUGAGACACGGCCCAAACUCCUACGGGAGGCAGCAGUGGGGAAUCUAGCGCAAUGGGCGAAAGCCUGACGCAGCCAUGCCGCGUGAAUGAUGAAGGUCUUAGGAUUGUAAAAUUCUUUCACCGGGGACGAUAAUGACGGUACCCGGAGAAGAAGCCCCGGCUAACUUCGUA
rnacentral:rRNA from 1 species